AAAAUUGUAUAAUUAAUGUGCCAGAGUAGUAUUAGUUAGGGUCUUGAAACUCAAAAAAUUUGGCGGUAUUUUAGUCUAUUUAGAGGAACCUGUAGUAUAAUCGAUAAUCCACGAUGGACCUCACUUAAUUUUGUUUUUCAGUUUGUAUACCGCUGUUAUUUGAAGAUUUUAUAAGAAUAUUAAUUUUCAUGAUUUUUAAUUAAAAAAUAUAUCAGGUCAAGGUGCAGCUUAUGGUUAAGAAUUUAUGGGUUACAAUAAAAUUAUUUAUACGGAUAAAAGUAUGAAAUUAUUUUUUGAAGGUGGAUUUAAUAGUAAAUUUUUAAAGAUAAAAAGAUUGAUU
rnacentral:rRNA from 1 species